UCGAGCGGUAGCACAGAGAGCUUGCUCUCGGGUGACGAGCGGCGGACGGGUGAGUAAUGUCUGGGAAACUGCCUGAUGGAGGGGGAUAACUACUGGAAACGGUAGCUAAUACCGCAUAAUGUCGCAAGACCAAAGUGGGGGACCUUCGGGCCUCAUGCCAUCAGAUGUGCCCAGAUGGGAUUAGCUAGUAGGUGGGGUAACGGCUCACCUAGGCGACGAUCCCUAGCUGGUCUGAGAGGAUGACCAGCCACACUGGAACUGAGACACGGUCCAGACUCCUACGGGAGGCAGCAGUGGGGAAUAUUGCACAAUGGGCGCAAGCCUGAUGCAGCCAUGCCGCGUGUGUGAAGAAGGCCUUCGGGUUGUAAAGCACUUUCAGCGGGGAGGAAGGCGUUAAGGUUAAUAACCUUGGCGAUUGACGUUACCCGCAGAAGAAGCACCGGCUAACUCCGUGCCAGCAGCCGCGGUAAUACGGAGGGUGCAAGCGUUAAUCGGAAUUACUGGGCGUAAAGCGCACGCAGGCGGUCUGUCAAGUCGGAUGUGAAAUCCCCGGGCUCAACCUGGGAACUGCAUUCGAAACUGGCAGGCUAGAGUCUUGUAGAGGGGGGUAGAAUUCCAGGUGUAGCGGUGAAAUGCGUAGAGAUCUGGAGGAAUACCGGUGGCGAAGGCGGCCCCCUGGACAAAGACUGACGCUCAGGUGCGAAAGCGUGGGGAGCAAACAGGAUUAGAUACCCUGGUAGUCCACGCCGUAAACGAUGUCGAUUUGGAGGUUGUGCCCUUGAGGCGUGGCUUCCGGAGCUAACGCGUUAAAUCGACCGCCUGGGGAGUACGGCCGCAAGGUUAAAACUCAAAUGAAUUGACGGGGGCCCGCACAAGCGGUGGAGCAUGUGGUUUAAUUCGAUGCAACGCGAAGAACCUUACCUGGUCUUGACAUCCACAGAACUUUCCAGAGAUGGAUUGGUGCCUUCGGGAACUGUGAGACAGGUGCUGCAUGGCUGUCGUCAGCUCGUGUUGUGAAAUGUUGGGUUAAGUCCCGCAACGAGCGCAACCCUUAUCCUUUGUUGCCAGCGGUCCGGCCGGGAACUCAAAGGAGACUGCCAGUGAUAAACUGGAGGAAGGUGGGGAUGACGUCAAGUCAUCAUGGCCCUUACGACCAGGGCUACACACGUGCUACAAUGGCAUAUACAAAGAGAAGCGACCUCGCGAGAGCAAGCGGACCUCAUAAAGUAUGUCGUAGUCCGGAUUGGAGUCUGCAACUCGACUCCAUGAAGUCGGAAUCGCUAGUAAUCGUAGAUCAGAAUGCUACGGUGAAUACGUUCCCGGGCCUUGUACACACCGCCCGUCACACCAUGGGAGUGGGUUGCAAAAGAAGUAGGUAGCUUAACCUUCGGGAGGGCGCUACCACUUGA
rnacentral:rRNA from 1 species